rnacentral:lncRNA from 1 species
UGAACAAAUAUUCAACAACAGUUGGGUGGAAAAUACAUUGAAAUUAUUUUGGACGGUAUUGAUCAUCUGAAAGAACUGUGAACCUCAACAAUCAAAAGCAAUGAUUUUAAUGCAAGAUGAAACAUGUUGCCUAAAUUAGACUUUUCAUAAAUUCUUACUCAGAAUGCAUUAACUUAUGCAACAACAAAAACAACAAGCCACAUCAUCAAUAUCUCCCUCUUUAGUAAUUAGCUUGUACAAAAUUACAAAAUGAUGAGAAGUAAAGAUCAUGAAAUGUUGCGACUAUGUGAUUCCUCUAAAGUAGAAAAUCCAAACAAAAAAGGAUGUCGAGAUACGUGAGACCAUAUUGAAAAUGUUAUCUGCUCAGUCUAGAGUUAUAACCGGCUCUCACUUGGUCUUAGGUAUCUUUGAUGGGGACCCAACCAUCUCUCCUAAAAGCCCAGGCUUGAGGGUGAUUGAAUUUCACAACUAUUAAACCCUAACAAUACGCAAUGGCCCCAAAUCUGACGUCCACAAUAAUCCACUCCAAGACGACCUUCGUUUUACCCGGCUGACCCUUCUUUGGUUGCUGGCAUUCGGCACUUCACUUGGGUAGCCCCUUUCGGGAUUCGAACCUGUGACGUGGGUCUGCUCUGAUACCAACAUGUUAGAAACCUGAAGCUGCUGCUGACCUGGUUGUGCUGAAACUUUAUUUAGCUUGCCUCCUGUGUUAUAAUCCAAGUUUGUGACACAAUGAUUGAAGAGAGAUUAGUAAAUGAAUACUGGAAAAUGGCUAUAAGGACUAUAUAUGGAUAAGCAACUGCAAAUAUUGAAGAUAAGAAUCAAUGGAAACUGAAUAUUCAACUAAAUGGAAAUAACAAAUUCCAGGGCUAUUAGAGAGGCCUGGUCUCUCCUCUUUAACUGAAUUGGAAAAGCUUGAAAGUGACACCA